rnacentral:rRNA from 1 species
CCUACGGGUGGCAGCAGUGAGGCAUAUUGGUCAAUGGACGCAAGUCUGAACCAGCCAUGCCGCGUGCAGGAAGACGGCUCUAUGAGUUGUAAACUGCUUUUGUACGAGGGUAAACGCAGAUACGCGUAUCUGUCUGAAAGUAUCGUACGAAUAAGGAUAGGCUAACUCCGUGCCAGCAGCCGCGGUAAUACGGAGGAUCCGAGCGUUAUCCGGAUUUAUUGGGUUCAAAGGGUGCGUAGGCGGUCAGGUAAGUUAGAGGUGAAAGCUCGAUGCUCAACAUCGAAACUGCCUCUGAGACUGUCUGACUAGAGUGUAGUUGCGGAAGGCGGAAUGUGUGGUGUAGCGGUGAAAUGCUUAGAUAUCACACAGAACACCGAUUGCGAAGGCAGCUUUCCAAGCUAUUACUGACGCUGAGGCACGAAAGCGUGGGGAGCGAACAGGAUUAGAUACCCGGGUAGUC